GACGUGGUGGCGGAGUGGCUUACGCGCCGGAUUGCAACCCCGGUCACGCCGGUUCAAUUCCGGCUCACGUCUCCA
rnacentral:tRNA from 1 species